UACGUAGGGUGCGAGCGUUAAUCGGAAUUACUGGGCGUAAAGCGUGCGCAGGCGGUUUGUUAAGACAGAUGUGAAAUCCCCGGGCUUAACCUGGGAACUGCAUUUGUGACUGGCAAGCUAGAGUAUGGCAGAGGGGGGUAGAAUUCCACGUGUAGCAGUGAAAUGCGUAGAGAUGUGGAGGAAUACCGAUGGCGAAGGCAGCCCCCUGGGCCAAUACUGACGCUCAUGCACGAAAGCGUGGGUAGCAAACAGG
rnacentral:rRNA from 1 species